CCGCGAUAGCUGAACUGUGAGCCCUUGAUGUGUAUGGAUUGCUGAUAGCCCGAUAGGAACCAAGAGCCUUCCCAACGUGCCGGAAAUGUGCAAUUUGUGGGCGCUGCAAAUACACGAAGAGAAGAGAAAUGAAAAUUCCAAAUAACUGAAGGUACAUUUGAAUUGCACAACAAUUGGGCCUGAGGCAUGCAUGUGACCUCAAUUGUUGCUCAGCUCUCCUCUUCCCAUUGUUCAUUUAACGACACGAAGGCGAAGACGAAGACGCAGCAGCAGCAGCAACAUCGCCAUAAAAGAGCAGUUCCAAAUAUGUUUCAAUAUAAUAUAAACAAUCUCAGCAUUUUCCACAGUGAAUUGAGCAAUGCGACCGCCGACCCGCCCGAAAAUUCAGUUGUUCACUUCACUUUCUUGUGGCAUUGCUCGUCGUCUAAUUGUAAUGUCAAUUUUUAUGCCAAGAUUUGUGGCUUUUUAAUUUAUAAAUUGUUUCAAUUAUUAUUAUGAUUGUAUUUAAGUGCGUGCGCAUAAGUGUCAGCUUGUAAGUGCCUCUGUAUGUGUGUAUAUAAGUGUGUGUGUGGCUCUAAGAGACCAAAAAUUUACGACCCUCUGCCGGCGCAAGGGCGCAUAAAUAAGUUGAACAAGCAGCAGCAGAAGCAGCACACAACCAGAAAUGGCUCGUAAUAAUAAUAAUGUCGCACACAGGCAUAGAAACUUCUAUGUGUGUGUGUGUGUAGACUCAUGCUCGAUGGCAUAAAAACUACCGAAAUGGCAAUUGUGAAUAUUAAAAAAAAAAGGAGGCAAGAGAAUCGAGCUAACUGGCAAAGGCAGCCAAUGCAUAGAGAAGGCAAAGAAAACGAAUCGUUAGCUAAAGGCAUGCCAUAGCACAAUCAGCGGGGCUGAAACGGGACAGUCACAAACACACACACACACUCACACACACACACAUACACAUAGGGACUGAGAGAAAACAAUAAGUAUAUCCUAUGCAAUACAUAUAUAGCAAAAUGGUAAAACCACCCUCGUUUGCGCUGCCAUUCAGCUGGGAGUUGGGCGUUAGGGUGGCACAGGGCAGAAGA